rnacentral:rRNA from 1 species
GGGCCCGCACAAGCGGUGGAGCAUGUGGUUUAAUUCGAUGAUACGCGAGGAACCUUACCAGGGCUUAAAUGUAGUAUGACCGGCUUGGAAACAGGCCUUCUCUUCGGAGCAGAUUACAAGGUGCUGCAUGGUUGUCGUCAGCUCGUGCCGUGAGGUGUUAGGUUAAGUCCUGCAACGAGCGCAACCCCUAUUCUUAGUUGCCAGCGGUUCGGCCGGGGACUCUAAGAAGACUGCCAGCGCAAGCUGAGAGGAAGGUGGGGAUGACGUCAAAUCAUCACGGCCCUUACGUCCUGGGCUACACACGUGCUACAAUGGUAGAGACAGAGGGCAGCCACUAUGCGAAUAGGAGCUAA